GUGGCUUCUCUGUGUUGACAGUAGCAGGACAGUGUUGGUGUGACGCAGUGUAGAAACUAUAUUGUGUGACGAUAGCUUUGGGGCUAUGGUGGAAAACUACCAAUUCACCCUACUGUUAGAAACUGCCGAGAGUGAUCUGGGCAGCUUCAGUGAGAGACAAGACCACUAUCAACAUUCUUCCCUGACCGACACGGGACCUCUUUCACGCACGCCUCCCUGCCCCCCGAACUGCUCUCCCUGUACCACCAGGCCAGCAUCACGCCCAUACAUAUCAUGAGAGAGAUCGACCAGCUCAGGGACGACGGCCUCCGCAGCUCACGGUACUUCCUGUGUGAGCCCGUGCUGGCCGACUCACUCAAGAAAGAGAAACUACGCAAACUAAAUCUUGACAUUGAAACUAGAAGG